rfam:Anaerocolumna xylanovorans DSM 12503 genome assembly, contig: EJ36DRAFT_scaffold00005.5
UGAGAUAAAGGCAAACCUGUUGAAAAGCAGGGACGCAAAGCCACGGGCCUAAAACCAUUACAGGUAAUGUAAUUGCAAGGCAGCCGGGCUACCAUGU